UCCAUUAGGGAUUUUCUCCUCAAAAUAGGGAGUUGUUGGUUGAUAGUUCAAAUUUCUCCAUCUUCCCGUCACGCUUGCUGCUCAACAAAAGCCCAAUAUACGUCUUUUUUUCGCUAAAGCGCCUGCCAAGUUCAUCAAAAGGGAAGCUAAUAUUUAGUUAAAGGGGCCGUAAUAAAGCAGCAGCAGAAGCAGAAUUUGGGCUAAAGCCCUAAAACAUAUACCAGCAGAUUACAAUAGUUUCAGCCCCAAAAUGAUCGAAUAUAGGCUGAAGUCAAAUUGUCUUCUUAUUAUUAUUGUGAUCACUAACAAUAUUGUGAAUUAGUUUUUGAAUAAAAAAGAUCGAAUAUGGGCUCCAGUCAAA